UGGUGUUGUCGCAGAAGUCAUAUCCUGGAUU
rnacentral:piRNA from 1 species